AAUAAAGUGCCUGAAUAAAGGAUUAUCAUGAUAUGAUAAAAAAUGUAAUACAAACUUUACCUUUAUUA
rnacentral:tRNA from 1 species